rfam:Cronobacter sp. DJ34 Bact_Abyss2_96, whole genome shotgun sequence.
CCGUUCUCAACGGGGUGCCGCACCGUUCGUGCGCGCUGAGAUAAUACCCGUCGAACCUGAUCCGGAUAACGCCGGCGAAGGGAUUUGAGGCUACCGCUCAA